CACGUAGGGGGCAAGCGUUGUCCGGAUUCAUUGGGCGUAAAGAGCUCGUAGGCGGUUCGAUAAGUCGGGUGUGAAACCUCCAGGCUCAACCUGGAGACGCCACCCGAUACUGUCGUGACUAGAGUCCAGUAGGGGAGCGUGGAAUUCCUGGUGUAGCGGUGAAAUGCGCAGAUAUCGGGAAGAACACCCGUGGCGAAGGCGGCUCUCUGGGACGGUACUGACGCUGAGACGCGAAAGCGUGGGGAGCGAACAGGA
rnacentral:rRNA from 1 species